GCCGGCGAUGAGGGCUUGGGGACGAGUUCACUCCGGCGAGGGACUCGGUGCAGGGAGGCGGAGCUUGACGGAUCCGGCCACGGGGCAUCGGUUCCCGGCGACCGCGAGGCGAACGGGAGCUCGAGGAGGCAUCCAUGGCAGCAGACGAACUCUGUAGGCAAACAGAGGGAGGGAGUCGGGUGAGAGAGAGGGGAAGUAGAGGAGCAGAAAGAGGGGCAGGGCUGUCGAGCAUGGGCCUGGGGCUGGUGGUCGACGGCAACGCAGCUGGUCGCGAGGACGGGCGCGGGGCGCUGCUGGCCCGGUGGUGCUCCGACGGAGGUGGAGGCGGCCGGGUCCUGGAUGCAGGUAGUUGGGGACGAGGUCGAGCGCAGGAGGGAGAACGGGGCUCCGGUCGAGCACUCGUCGUCCUCCCUGCUCGAACGUAGUAGAGGAGGCAAGCAGGGCGUUGGGGCUCGGGCGCUGCGGGAUGAAGGACGACGGCGAGCUGAACCAGGCGCGCGACGGUGUUCUCCGGCGAGGGCAUGGCCAGGAUCCGGCGGACCCUGAUGCGGGCGAGGCUGGGGAACGACGAGGCCGGAUGGAUCCAUGGGUGGAUCGGGCAGGGAGGCGGCUGCGCUCGGCGGAGUCGAGCAGGAGCACGGGCUUGAGGUUGCACGCCUCCAUGGGUGCUUGCGCGGCUGCGGGGACUAGGAGGCGUCGGGGUGCGGUGGUUGGUUGGGUGGCGCUGAAAUUGAGGACGAUGGUCGGAGGCAGGAUGGGAUGGAUGGAUUGGGGCGCUGCGAGGUUGGUGGAUCUGGAUCGAGGGGGGAUCCCGAGGGGAGCGACCAAGCGGUGGCGGCGGGAGG
rnacentral:rRNA from 1 species